GAAACAAUGAUAAUGAAAGUUUUUCAUCGUUCUAAAUAUAUGCUACAGUUAUGGUCGUGAAAGAUUAUGACAAAUCUUAUGGGUGCAAUUAUUCCACUGGCACCUGCGAAAUUGCCAAAAGAACUGACCAUCGCUGUUUAUUGUAUUUUUUUAAAUGUUUUAGUUAAACAAUCUAACACUUUA